rnacentral:rRNA from 1 species
GAUGAACGCUGGCGGCGUGCCUAAUACAUGCAAGUCGAGCGAAAAGACGAGGAGCUUGCUCCUCUGACGUUAGCGGCGGACGGGUGAGUAACACGUGGAUAACCUAUCUAUAAGAAUGGGAUAACUUAGGGAAACCGGAGACAAUAUCGGCUCUUCUAUUGAAACGCAUGGGUCAUUAGAGCAUGCAGGAUUUGCUGUUCCUUAUAGAUGGUUCCGCGUCGCAUUAGCUAGUUGGUAAGGUAACGGCUUACCAAGGCGACGAUGCGUAGCCGACCUGAGAGGAUGAUCGGCCACACUGGAACUGAGACACGGUCCAGACUCCUACGGGAGGCAGCAGUAGGGAAUCGUGCACAAUGGGCGAAAGCCUGACGGAGCAACGCCGCGUGAGUGAUGAAGGUCUUCGGAUCGUAAAGCUCUGUUAUUAGGAAAGAACAGAUGUGUAAGAAACUAUGCACGUCUUGACGGUACCUAAUCAGAAAGCCACGGCUAACUACGUG